rnacentral:lncRNA from 1 species
UAUACGUUCUUCCAACACCCCUUUCAAAUUUGUUGCCGCUUCAAUGUCAGAAAGUAGCUUAUAAGCAAUUGAUUUGCCCUUAUCUUUUGUCUGCGUUGUUUUUUCUCCCAAUGAUGCUGAGGUAUCCUUUACAGGCAAUUCUUAUGAAGCUGCCUCCCGAGCCUUGUCUCCUCGAGUUUGCCUCUUAAAAGAAUUUCCUUCUCUAGUAUCAUCAAAAUUUCCUCGUCUCUUUUCUUCCAUCAAAGCUUCAUGUUGGCUCUUAGCAAUAUAUGCAUGAACUGAAAGAGACUCAACAGGAUCCUCCCAACCUGUUCUACCUCAUAUUGUAGCUGCAGUUCUCAAUAACGCUUCUCGAUGUAAUUU